CGUCAAAAGCCCAAAAUAAUCGAUGUUAAACAGUGUUUUUCCACUAGUGAUCAACUCAAAGUGUGAUUUUGAACUAUCCAAAGAAAAAUUUAAAACAAUGGAAGAAGGAGAUAAGUUUGAGAAAUUCUUGUAAAUAAAAGUUGGAUUUAAGAAAGAUGAAUAAAUGAUAAAGAGAAAAUUCAAAGACGGAAAACUCCCUUUAUCAUUUUGGUUUCAAUUAUUUUUGAAGGGAUUGUAAAUGCUUUUAAUAGACUUUUUAAAAGACGGUAAAUGCUUUCUCUCUUCUCUCAAUUUCUUCUUUUUCUCUCAUUUCCUUCCUUCUUUUUUUCUUUCUUGUUCAUCUUUCUCUCUUUAUUCUUUAUCUCUUUUUGCUUGCUCAUCUUUCUCUCUUGCUCCUCGUUAUCUCUUCUCUUAACUUCCUUUCUCUUUCUUUUAUACUCCUUCAUCUUAGCUUCUUCCCUUUUUUUCUUUCUUUUCUAACUCUCUUAGUUUUCCAUCCCUCAUCCUUUUAAUCUCUUUUCACUCAAGAGCUUUUUCACUUUUUAUUCAUACUCAUCUUCUUUACUAAAAAAACUCAUUUAUACUUUUAAUGAAUUUUUUCCGCUUUUAAUGAGUUCUCCCAUCUCACACAUUAGCUCUUGGUUUCUUUCAAAUGAAGAAGGAACAAAUUUUCUUCUCAUGCAUGCUCUCAAAUCAUACUAAUCUUUAAUUUGGUAUUUUCUACCUCUCUCAACACUUGAUUGUCUAUAAUCCCACCACUCACUUGCAAACCCUACAAACCUUGAAAUUCAUAAACUAAGUAUAUGAUAUUUACUAUGCCUAGCAAAGAAUAGAUGAAGCUCUUGUAUCUUUUUCCCCC
rnacentral:lncRNA from 1 species